GACGAACGCUGGCGGCGGGCUUAACACAUGCAAGUCGAACGGAAAGGCCCUGCUUUCGUGGGGUGCUCGAGUGGCGAACGCGUGCGGAACACGAGAGUAACCUGCCCUUGACUUUGGGAGGACUUCAGGAAACUGGGGCUAAGACCGGAUAGGAGCUCCUGCUGCAUGGUGGGGGUUGGAAAGUUGCGGCGGUUGGGGAUGGACGAGCGGCUAAUGAGCUAGUUGGUGGGGGAGGGGCUUACCAAGGCCUUGACGGGUAGCCGGCCGGAGAGGGUGACCGGCCACCUUACGACUGAGCUACGGCCCAGAGUCGUACGGGAGACAGCAGUGGGGAAUAUUGUCCAAUGGGGCCAAGCCUGAUGCAGCAACGCCGCGUGCGGGAUGACGGCCUUCGGGUAGUAAACAGCUUUCGCCUGUGACGAAGCGUGACUGACGGUACUGGAUAAAGAAGCACCGGCUAACUACGUG
rnacentral:rRNA from 1 species